rfam:Vibrio sp. MEBiC08052 genomic scaffold scaffold00001, whole genome shotgun sequence.
UAAUGAUUAGCACCACCACCAUUAUUAUUACCGACACCACCAAUGUUGGGGCAGGCUGCUGAGCGAAAAAACUUCAAAAAAAGGCCUGUAUCCCCACAAGAUACAGGCCUUUUUUUA